AGUGAACGCUGGCGGUAGGCCUAACACAUGCAAGUCGAACGGCAGCACAGUAAGAGCUUGCUCUUACGGGUGGCGAGUGGCGGACGGGUGAGGAAUACAUCGGAAUCUACUUUUUCGUGGGGGAUAACGUAGGGAAACUUACGCUAAUACCGCAUACGACCUACGGGUGAAAGCAGGGGAUCUUCGGACCUUGCGCGAUUGAAUGAGCCGAUGUCGGAUUAGCUAGUUGGCGGGGUAAAGGCCCACCAAGGCGACGAUCCGUAGCUGGUCUGAGAGGAUGAUAAGCCACACUGGAACAGAGACACAGUACAGACUCCUACGAGAGGCAGCAGUCGGGAACAAAGGACAAUGGGGGCAAGCCUGAUCCAGCCAUACCGCAUGGGUGAGGAAGUCCUUCGGGUUGUCAAGCCCUUUUGUUGGGAAAGAAAAGCAGCAAGUUCAUACACCGCUAAUCUGACGGUACCCAAAAAAUAAGCACCGGCUAACUUCGUG
rnacentral:rRNA from 1 species